rnacentral:ncRNA from 1 species
AGGAUAGAGGCGCGUCUUUAAUAAGUAUUCGACGGUUUUUACCGUAGUUUCCCGUCGUUGAAAGGUAAAGUCGCCGAAGGAAACGGAUUAUUACGGUCGUGUCCGUUUGCCUGGCUGCAUCGCUUAAAAGGCAUGCGGCUGUCAUCAUAUUAUGAUGGAGAGCUAUCUC